AUGAACGAAAUCAGAACUCAAGUCCAGUUCAUCGACAUUGAUGAAGACAUGGCUGGUCAGC
rnacentral:sRNA from 1 species